UACGGGGGGGGCAAGCGUUGUUCGGAAUUACUGGGCGUAAAGGGCGCGUAGGCGGCCUACUAAGUCGGACGUGAAAGCCCGAGGCUCAACCUCGGAACUGCCUUCGAUACUGCGGGUCUCGAGUCCGGGAGAGGUGAGUGGAAUUCCUAGUGUAGAGGUGAAAUUCGUAGAUAUUAGGAAGAACACCAGUGGCGAAGGCGGCUCACUGGCCCGGUACUGACGCUGAGGCGCGAAAGCGUGGGGAGCAAACAGG
rnacentral:rRNA from 1 species